GUGAGGAAUAUUGCGCAAUGGAGGCAACUCUGACGCAGCCAUGCCGCGUGCAGGAAGAAGGCGCUACGCGUUGUAAACUGCUUUUAACCGGGAAGAAACCCCAGGACGUGUCCUGGGUUGACGGUACCGGAGGAAUAAGCACCGGCUAACUUCGUGCCAGCAGCCGCGGUAAUACGAAGGGUGCAAGCGUUAUCCGGAUUCAUUGGGUUUAAAGGGUGCGUAGGCGGAGCAUUAAGUCAGUGGUGAAAUCCUGCAGCUUAACUGUAGACUUGCCAUUGAUACUGGCGCUCUUGAGUGCGCUUGAAGUGGGCGGAAUGUGCCGUGUAGCGGUGAAAUGCUUAGAUAUGGCACAGAACACCAAUUGCGAAGGCAGCUCACUAAGGCGAUACUGACGCUGAGGCACGAAAGCGUGGGGAUCGAACAGGAUUAGAUACCCUGGUAGUCC
rnacentral:rRNA from 1 species